CGGCCAGUUCAGCGGGGGGCGUCUCGCGUCAUUUUGGCUGCAGCGGUGGAGCGCAUCGUGCACGAAAGCCUGAACAGUCUUCUGUUUUACAGGCGUAGUGAGAAAGAGUGGGCUGCCGGGGGAGAGGGAAAAAUGCAGGUGCCUCCGGACCUCACUGGUUGGUCGGAGAGGCGUAGACGCCACGGCAAACAUCGAUGAACCUUGCGGAACUGCGAAGCGGCGGUGAACCAUGGCGUGCUGAUGCGAUGACUGCCACAGAACAGAAACUGGGGAGGCGACGCGAGGCACGGCGGCGUCAGCGGGACUGAGGAACGGGAAGAAACGGCUGUCGCAGCUAAUUGGACGGAUUCGGAAAAGAAGAAGAAGAAGAAGCAUCGAAGAACAUGGAGAAAGAUCGGCUCCCGCUUUCAACAUCGGUUUCGACCCAUUAGUCUGAGUGUAUCCUUGGUUCGGUUACAUCAAUCGACGCUUAGCAUCAAGAGGAUUACGGCGACACCAGGAUUUCUACGGUGGGUCGACUAUUCACAUUUUAAGAGACUUUUUCGAGCAGCCACCAUUGCCGCCGCGCUAGGCCAGGUGCUGCCUGAGUGUGGCAAUUGGAGGCGAGUCAGGCAUGCAAGUCAUGAUGGAUGGGGAGGAACUACCUCCCGACAAGUGCACCGAAGAGUACGGAUGGCAGGCAGCAGUUUCUAGGCGAAUUUCUACCAGAUCCGCUGUUAGCGGCAAUUCAGCCGGAGCUGGGCCUCAUAUGGCUACGUCGCCUAGAACAUUCGAGAACGGCAGUCGAGUCAAGAACAGGGUCGCCAGGGCAUCCCGAAUGCCAUACUUGCCGAAAGAUCACUUUAAAAUCAUACUCCGACCACGCGGCGGACUCAAUAUUAGCAAGAUUGGCUCUACCAAGAUAGGCAAAACCAUCGUUGAAGCAGCUGGUCUAAGCUCGGACCACAUUGCAUCAGACAUCAUAUGCCCGAACGUGAACCAAAACAUAAUUGUGGCGAGUACGCCGCAACGAGAGAAUGCUGAGAAAUAUGUGAGAAUCAGGUCAAUUAACCUGAAUGGAUGCAGCUUCGAGAUCAACGCAUAUGAGGCUGCACCUCACAACACGUGCAAGGGAGUGAUAAGGAACGUUGACUUAGCAGAUGGCCCGACGGAGCUGGAGAAGAACAUAGUCAACUCAAGAAACCCUUUGGCUCUCGCCGUUAAAAGAAUCAAGAAUACCGGUACGGUGAUCAUCGCCUUUGAUGGACACAAGGUUCCGAAUUUCGUCAGAUAUGGCCCGGUCCUUGUAAGGUGUUCACUAUACAAGAAACAAGUCGACGUAUGCUACGCUUGCGGUCGGCUCGGUCACAGAGCUGAUGUGUGCCCGUCUCCGCAAGAGAGAAUAUGCCGAGGCUGUGGUGCAGUGAAUCCGACUGACAAACAUCAGUGCCAACCCAGGUGUGAACUGUGUGGUGGCCCACACCCAACUGCGGACAAAGUGUGUAAGCAGCGCUAUACAACUCCAUACGUGGUCAGAAAACGGAGAAACGAAAGAGCACUAGCAACCAACGUCAACAAGGACAAUAACGACACGCAGCCAAGCUCAAGGUCCCGCGGCAGGUCCAGGUCCCGCAGUCGCUCACGCUCCAGGGGAAGAAGCGUGUCCAGAUCCCGACCCAGAUCCAGAUCCCAAUCCAGGACGCGAUCCGGAUCAAGAGAUCGGAGCCAACAGGCUGCAUCGAAACCCGGGGAAGGAAUCAACGGAUCCACAUGGGCCGACAAAGUCAAGGGAACGGCCAUAGCGGACAAGACGCCUCCUCACCGGGACAACAAUAAAACAAGACUUAUCUGGGCCGACGACGCGCGUACCGAUCCGGUAAGUGCCAUGCUUUGUGACCCACCCCCAGAGCAAAGUAAGGAUCGUGAAAUAGAAAGACUUAAGAAAGAGAAUGCAGAACUAAGGGAAAUGAAUCAGAACAUGAUUAGAGAGAUGACGGCAAUAAGGAAACUCUUAAGCGAGGCUAAACAAGCAGAAAACAAAGAUAGCACUAAUACACGCAAAGAAGCCCCAGUCCCGGCGCCUGCUGGUGAAGGCCCAAUGUCAGCCAAGCGUAGGGCUGUUGAAAGUAAACUCAAGAACACUGAAACACAGA